rnacentral:rRNA from 1 species
AGCAGCCGCGGUAAUUCCAGCUCCAAUAGCGUAUAUUAAAGUUGUUGCAGUUAAAAAGCUCGUAGUUGAAUUUCGGGAUCAAUAUAUCGGUCGUGCCUUGGUACGUACUGGUAUCAUUGGUUUCUCCUUUCUGACGAACCAUGAUGUCAUUAAUUUGGUGUUAUGGGAAGUUAGGACUGUUACUUUGAAAAAAUUGAGUGUUUAAAGCAGGCUUUAGCUUGAAUACAUUAGCAUGGAAUAAUGAAAUAGGACGUUCGAACCUAUUUUGUUGGUUUCUAGGAUCAACGUAAUGAUUAAUAGGGAUAGUUGGGGGCAUUAGUAUUCAAUUGUCAGAGGUGAAAUUCUUGGAUUUAUUGAAGACUAACUACUGCGAAAGCAUUUGCCAAGGAUGUUUUC